rnacentral:rRNA from 1 species
UCCAGACUCCUACGGGAGGCAGCAGUGGGGGAUAUUGCACAAUGGGGGGAACCCUGAUGCAGCGACGCCGCGUGGGUGAAGGAGUAUUUCGGUAUGUAAAGCCCUAUCGGCAGGGAAGAAGCAAGACGGUACCUGACUAAGAAGCCCCGGCUAACUACGUGCCAGCAGCCGCGGUAAUACGUAGGGGGCAAGCGUUAUCCGGAUUUACUGGGUGUAAAGGGAGCGUAGACGGCGGCGCAAGCCAGAUGUGAAAGCCCGGGGCUCAACUCCGGGACUGCAUUUGGAACUGUGUGGCUGGAGUGUCGGAGAGGCAGGCGGAAUUCCUAGUGUAGCGGUGAAAUGCGUAGAUAUUAGGAGGAACACCAGUGGCGAAGGCGGCCUGCUGGACGAUGACUGACGUUGAGGCUCGAAAGCGUGGGGAGCAAACAGGAUUAGAUACCCGCGUAGA